rnacentral:rRNA from 1 species
UACGUAGGGUGCGAGCGUUUGUCCGGAAUUAUUGGGCGUAAAGAGCUUGUAGGCGGUUUGUCGCGUCUGCUGUGAAAAUCCGGGGCUCAACCCCGGACUUGCAGUGGGUACGGGCAGACUGGAGUGUGGUAGGGGAGACUGGAAUUCCUGGUGUAGCGGUGGAAUGCGCAGAUAUCAGGAGGAACACCGAUGGCGAAGGCAGGUCUCUGGGCCACUACUGACGCUGAGAAGCGAAAGCGUGGGGAGCAAACAGG